GUUUACUUACAUUUUUGUGUAAUGUGUAUAAAUGCCAUGUUGUGGUACCCACUCAUUUCCCAGUGUUCUUUCACUGGGUGUAGCUGGUUCUGUUCAUUACUGAUCAAUUGGAACUGAUUGGAUCCUCUCAUUGUUGAAGAUAGCCACUUCCAUCAGAAUUGAUCCUUGUAUAGUAUUGUUGUUGAAGUGUAUAAUGAUUUCCUGAUUCUGCUCAUUUCACUCAGCAUCAGUUCAUGGGAUAACUAUACCUGAAGGAGCUGAAGUCAAGGAAGAAUUCAUUUAUGGAUUUAGGAGGAAGAAAGAUGAAAAAAAUGAUAAAUUUGGGAUGGCAUUUUCUGUCCAGAGUCUAUCAAGAUUGCUUUGGAUCAUUGAACCACUGAGAAAACCAAAUCUUUCACAGUUGAUCAUCACACAUUCCUGCUAUUAUUGUGUACAAGGAGGUGACACUUCUUUAUCUGAGCUCUCCUUGAUGUCCUUUAGAUCAACACCAAAUCAAGCCUCUGAACUGGUUUUGGAAUGACAGAACCCACAGAUAUUUGGAGUAUAACAAAUUUCCAAUAGAAGAUAUUUUGGAAGAACUUCAGAAAAGGUCUGUUUCAGUCAGGCAUGGAAGGAGGCAGCCAAGCACAGGCACAGUGCAGAGACUCGGGGUCCCCAUGCCCUGGGGAAUAUAACUAGAGGAAUCUACAGCAGUGUUGGCUACUCUGCCUGAUUGCAAACCAGUAGAUUAGCAGAUUAGCUGUAAAACAUCCAAUAAAUACAAAAGAUAAAUAAUGAGCCCUUCAACCCCAGAAUAACAAGAGACCUGGCCCUAUCCACCUAGUACUGGAAGUUAGUGAGCAUCAACCCAGCAUAACCACUGUCACCUGUAAAGGAAGCUUGGACAAUCUCUCCUUUGCCAUAAAAGCAAAUCUUUUAAAGAAUGAACAAAAAGGCAAAAAGAACUCUGAACAUAUAUAGUUUUUAUGCAGAGAGAGAACAGAUUUCAAACCCCAAGGACACAAAAAAAACAGGUAUCUCCAGAUGAAGCCCCAAAGGGUGAUAUGAGUUUGUCCCUAUCUCACAAGGCUAUCUUGGAAGAAUUCAAAAAGGAUGUUACAAGAGAGUUAGAAGAAAAAUGGGGAAAGAAAAUGAGAACUUUGUAAGAGGGUUUGGCAAAGGAAACAAAUUAUCUGAAGAAAACUCCUUAAAAUUAGACUUAAUGAAAAGAAAAAAGCAAAUAAUUCCUUACAAAAUAUACUUGAUGAAAUGGAAAAACCAUAUAACUCCUUACAAGAUAGAUUUGACAAAAUAAAAAAGAAAACAAUUCCUUGAAAAACAGAAUUUGUGAAAUGAUGGGGGGGAUCCACUGAACAAAACAAUUCAUUUAAAAAUGCAAUUGACCUAAUACAAAAAGAGUUUUUAAAAGUAUCUGAAGAAAAAAUUCACUAAAAAUUAGAACUGAACAAAUGGAAAUAAAUGACUCAAUGAGGUAUCAAAAAUCAGUCAAACAAAACCAAAAAAAAAAAAAAGAAGAAGAAGAAGAAAAUGUAAAAUGCCUAGAAAAACAACUGACCCGGAAAUUAAAUCUAGGACAGACAAUCUUAGGAUUAUUGGACUUCCUGAAAACCAUGAUGAAACAAAGAUGAAAUUAUCAAGGACAAAUUUCCUAAUGUCAUAGAACCAGAAGGUAAAAGAGCCAUUGAAAGAAUUUGCUGAUCACCUCCUGAAAGAGACUGCAAAAUGAAAAUUCCAAGGAAUAUCAUAGCUAAAUUUCAGAAUAAUUAGAUCAAGGGAAAGUAUUGUAAGCAGCCAAAAAGAAACACUUCAAAUAUGGACAAGCCACAAUCAGGAUUACCCAGGAUCUAGCAGUUUCCACUUUAUAUGAUCAAAGGGUCUGGAUGUUGGAAUCCUUACAAAAUGUAAAGUCAUUAGAGUUGAUAGAGACAAUAAUUAUCUAAUUUAGCAUGGUUCAGUAUGAUUGAUCUGAUCUUACAAGGAGAUGUUAUAGAACAGAAGAAACAAGGUGCUAAGUGGAACUGAUAGAAACAAUGCGUGUAUUCACAUCUUUAGAGAGCUCAUAUAAGCAAAAAGCUCUUAGAGCCAGAGAGCAUUCUGGGAGGAAACCCAUAAUCCCACUCUCAGAUCCCACAAUCCCACUCUUGGAGGUGGAGUCAGAUUCAUUCACUUCAUCUCACACCACUAUGGUGGCGGGGCUCCUGCACUUCCCCCACUGAGACCAAGACUAGUUUGAAAGGCUCUCCAGAAAGCUGCCCAGACCCAGGCAAGGAGACAAGACUUGGAAGGAGCACUCUGGGAGACUGAGAGCCAGAAUCCCUCUCUCAGAGGCAAGAGAGAUUCAUUCCAUUUUCCACCUUUGUGCUGGCUGGAGGCUGAAGGACAAACCUUUGGAUUUGGAGACAUUCAGAGGGAGCUCUUGGAACCAAGCAGAGAGAUAGGCUCUAAGAAAUCUACUCAGGCCUAAGGAAGGAGAAAAUAAACAUUUGCAUUUUAUCAGCUGGCUGUGUUUGGAGUGAUUAUUACUUUUAAUUGAAACUAAGGCUGCCUCCAGAAAACCUCCCCGAGAAACCUGCUCCCAGAGAACCAUUAUUUUAAAGAAGAGAACACCACACCUGGAAUCUGAUAUUCUUAAAGGCAAAGGAACUUGAAUCGCAGCCAAGAAUUAACAAUCCAGCAAAAUCCAGCAUUAUCUUUCAGAGAAGAGAAUGGCCAUUCGAUGAUAUAGGUGAAUUUCAUUUAUUUCUUAUGAAGGACCAGAGUUGAAAAAAAAAAUUGAUCUCCAAAUACAGAACUCAAGAGAAAUAUAAAAAGGUAAAAAGGAAAGAACUCUUGAUAAUUACAUCUCUGUUAUGAAUAUACUUAGAGAAAUUGAGGGAAAGGAAGGAGAGGGAUGAACAUCAUGUGAAUCUUACUCUCAUCAGAUUCACUCAAAGAGAGAUUAUUAGACAUAUUUGGCUUCAUAGAGUAAUUUGUCUCACCCUAUAAGAAAGUGGGAGGGAGAAGAGAAAAGAAAAGAGGGAGGUUAAUAGAAGGAAAAAUAGAAGUAAUAGGGGAAAGAUAUAAGAAAGGGAGAGAGCUGUAAAGAGGGAAGGCUGUUUGAGGGAGGUGGUGGUCAGAAGCAAAAUACUGGAAAGUAGGAAAAGGGGAAAAGGAAAGAGAAAAACAUAACUUGGGGUAAAUAAGAUUGUGGGAAAUACAAAAUUGGUCAUUUUAACUGUUAAUGUGAAUGGGAUGAAUUCUUUAUAAAAUGGAAGCAGAUAAAAGCCAGAAUCCUAUAAUAUGAGAGUAAUGCAUACAGGGUAAAGGUAAAAGGCUGGAGUAUAAUCUAUUAUGGUUAGGUGAAGUAAAAAAAAAAAAAAAAAAAAAAAAAAGCAAGGGUAGCAAUCCUGAUCUCAGAUCAAGCAAAAGCAAAAAUAGAUCUAAUUAAAAGGGAUAAGGAAGGAAACCAUAUCUUGCUAAAGGGUACCAUAGAUAAUGAAGUAAUUAAUCUCAAUACUAAAUAUAUAUGCACCAGUGGUUUAGCAUCCAAAUUCCUAGAGGAGAAGUUAAGAAAGCUGCAAGAAGAAAUAGACAGCAAAAGUAUACUAAUAGGGGAUCCCAACCUUGCUCAGAGCUAGAUAAAUCUAACCAUAAAACAAAUAAGAAAGAAGUUAUGGAGAUAAAUAGAAUUUUAGAAAAGUUAGGUAUGAUAGAUCUCUGGAGAAAAUUGAAUAGAGACAGAAAAGAGUAUACUUUUUUCUUGAUGGUUCAUGGAACCUAUGGAAAAAUUGACCAGGUAGAGUCAAAACAGAGAAAGAAAAUUAUAGACCAGUUUCCCUAAUGAAUUUUGAUGCAAAAAUCUUAAAUAAAAUAUUAGCAAAGAGAUUACAGCAAGUUAUCCCCAGGAUAACAAAAAUCAUGAUUAUUUCAAUAGUUGCAGAAAAAGCAUUUGACAAAAUCCAACACCCAUUCCUAUUAAAAACACUAGACAAUAUAGGAACAAAUUGAGUUUUCCUUAAAAUAGUCAGUAGCAUCUAUUUAAAACCAUCAGCAAGCAUCAUAUGUAAUGGGGAUAAACCAGAAUCACUUCCCAAUAUGAUCAUGGGUGAUAUAAGGUUGCCUACUAUCACCAUUACUAUUCAAUAUUGUAUUAGAAAUGUUAGCUUUGGCAAUAAGAGAAGAAAAAAGAGAUGAAAGGAUUUAGUAUAGAUAAGGAGGAAACCAAAUUAUCAUUUUUAUAGAUGAUAAAAUGAUAUAUUUAGAGAUUCCUAGAGAAUCAACUAAAAAACUACUAGAAACAAUUCACAACUUUAGCAAAGUUGCAGAAUUCAAAAUAAAUCCACAUAAAUCAUCAGUAUUUUUAUAUAUUACUAGCAAAAUCCAGCAGUAAGAGAUACAAAAAGAAAUUCCACUUAAAAUAACUGUAUAUAAAAUAUUUGGGAGUCUACCUUUCAAAAUAAAGUCAAGAACUAUAGGAACACAAUUACAAAACACUUUCCACAUAAAUAAAGUCAGAUCUAAACUCUUGGAAAAAUAUCAAGUGCUCAUGGGUAGACUGAGCUAAUACAAUAAAAAUUACAAUACUAUCUAAAUUAAUCUACUUAUUCAGUGCCAUAACAAUCAAACUCCCAAGAAAUUACUUGACAGAGUUAGAAAAAAAUAAUAACAAAAUUCAUUUGGAAAAACAAAAAGUCAAGAAUUUCAAGGGAAUUAAUGAAACAAAAUGUAAAUGAAGGUGAUCUAGCUGUAUCAGAUCUAAAACUACAUUAUAAAGCAGUGGUCAUCAAAACCAUUUGGUACUGAUUAAGAAAUAGAGUAGUCAAUCAGUGCUAUUGUUUAGGUUUACAGAACAAAAUAGGCAAUGGCAGUAGUAACCUAGUGUUUGACAAGUCCAAAGAACCCAGCAUUUGGGAUAAGAACUCACUUUUUGACAAAAACUGCUGGGAAAAUUAGGAAUUAGUAUGGCAGAAACUAGGCACUAACCAACACCUAGCACCCUAUAUAAAAUUAAGAUAGAAAUGGGAUCAUGAUUUAGACAUAAAGAGUGAUAUUAUAAGCAAAUUGGAAGAACAAAGGAUAGUUUACUUCUCAGAUCUGUGGAGAAGGAAAGAAUUUGUGAUCAAAGAAGAACUUGAGUACAUUAUUGAAUACAAAAUGGAUAAAAAGGUUUUGUAGAAACAAAACUAAUGCAGACAAAAUUAGAAGGAAACCAAUAACCUGGGAAGAAUCUAUUCUUCUCUUUCUCCAUAAAAACUAUUUGUGAACCCCAGUAUCACCAUUCCUCCCUCUCCUCAGUGCACUGCUGGGGCCUUGGACUCUCAGCUAGGACCCUGCUCCCUUUUCCACCAUUGCUAGAGUUCCUGAGACCCCAAAGCCCGCCAGCCCCAAAGGAGCAGGAGUGUGUGCAGAGGAGACCCCUGCCUUGACCUGGCCACCCACUUUUGUCUAGAGGCUCCAGGAUCAGAUGUUGUCCUGAUUCCUCUCUGUUACAUGUAUAGCUCAAGGUGUAUAUAUGUUUUGUACCUUUGCAGACAACUGUACAUUGUGUAAGAAAGUUAUUUGAGCCUCAUGCUGUACAUUUUUGCUUUCAACCUAGAUGUGUUGGUUCCCAGGAGGUCUUCGUAAAUAAAGCCAAAAUGGCCAUUAUUUGUGGGGGGGAAAAACUAUUUGUGAUCAGAUUUCUUUUUGCUUUUUUGCUCACUUUUUUUUUUUAAAAGGCUGAGUUCUGCUUUAGGGGAAGGGGAAAUUGUCCAAACUUCUUCUACAAGUAACAGUGGCUGUGCUGGAUCAGUGAUGACUAAAUUCUGGUGCUGGGUGAGCAUAGCCAGGUUCCUUGUUAUUCUAGGGUUCAGGAGUUCACUAUUUGCCUUUUGCAUUUGUGUUGAAUGUCUUACAACUAAUCUGAUGAUCUACCAUCUUGCAACUAGGACAGAGUAGCCAACACUGCUGCAGAUUCCUCCCAGCAGAUUCUCUGGGGCAUGAAGCCCACACCACCCUGGGUCUCUGCACUGCCUGCACUGUCUGCAUGGGUGCCUGCAUUUGGCUGCCCUCCCUCUGUGCCCAAUUGAAACAGAUCUAUUCUGAAAAUCUUCCAAAUUAUCUUCUGCCAGAAAUUUGUUACACUCCAAAUAUUUGUGGGUUAUGUCACUCCAAAACCAGAGGCUUAAUUUCCUGUUAAUUUGAGGGUUAUGGGGAGAACUCAGAAAAAGCUGUAUCUCUUCUCUGCAUCUUGCUCUGCCCCUCCAUAUAUAUACUUUGAAAAUAAAAAGUUUUAAUUUAAAAAAAAGAA